CUGUGCUGCUGGGGAUCUGCAGGGAGUGACAGCGUCACAGCACCACGUGACGGCCGGGCAGCAGAGCCCAUGCACGGGGGGGGAUUGAAACGCAGAAUUAUUGUGGGCCCAGUGCCACCGAGUUAAAGUGGCAGAAAGCUACAGCGCUACAAUGAUUAAAGUUAUGGAGGCAACAGACUAGGCCCCUUGGCUGUCCCUUCCGUGCCGCUGCAACCCGACGAAUGCAAUCAAUAAGGAUUGUGAUGGAGUUUCUUCCCAGCAGUUGGCUGAAGAGCUGUAUGAGGAUCUGCCUUGCCUCAGGGAUCUGUAUGUCCUCUGAAGGCUACUGCACUGGCUGCUAUUCCCUGCAUCCUCUUGGAGCCUCCGGAGUUUCAGUACCUUUUUACCAUGUUUGUCUUCUUCAAAGCCAGGGAUCCUGUGUGGUGGCGACGUUGUUGGAGGACAGAGGCAGAUGCAGGUGGAUGAAUUAAGAAGCGCGGCUUGCCAUAGGUGGUAUGAUGUCAAUUGGCCCAGGUUGAUGCUAUAUCCAGGCAGUAAUGAACCAUAUGGUCCAAGGUGAGAACCAGUGCCUUACUCCUGCCAUCUCCAGUUGGGAUCCACGUAGGAGAAAUCUUCCAGGUAGAUUUCCUUUACGGCGAAUCAUUUCGAUUAAAGAUUUCCCACUGGCGUACUCCAGAAUGAAGAAGGCUUCCAGCUGUUAAAGAAAAAGUAGAAAUAGUUAUGGAGGCAACAGACUAGGCCCCUUGGCUGUCCCUUCCGUGCCGCUGCAACCCGACGAAUGCAAUCAAUAAGGAUUGUGAUGGAGUUUCUUCCCAGCAGUUGGCUGAAGAGCUGUAUGAGGAUCUGCCUUGCCUCAGGGAUCUGUAUGUCCUCUGAAGGCUACUGCACUGGCUGCUAUUCCCUGCAUCCUCUUGGAGCCUCCGGAGUUUCAGUACCUUUUUACCAUGUUUGCUUCCACACCAACUGCUAUUGCAAGGAACAAAAUAUGAAUAUUAAAAAAAAAAAACAAUGGAGAAGUAAAAGUCUUCUUCAAAGCCAGGGAUCCUGUGUGGUGGCGACGUUGUUGGAGGACAGAGGCAGAUGCAGGUGGAUGAAUUAAGAAGCGCGGCUUGCCAUAGGUGGUAUGAUGUCAAUUGGCCCAGGUUGAUGCUAUAUCCAGGCAGUAAUGAACCAUAUGGUCCAAGGUGAGAACCAGUGCCUUACUCCUGCCAUCUCCAGUUGGGAUCCACGUAGGAGAAAUCUUCCAGGUAGAUUUCCUUUACGGCGAAUCAUUUCGAUUAAAGAUUUCCCACUGGCGUACUCCAGAAUGAAGAAGGCUUCCAGCUGUUAAAGAAAAAGUAGAAAUAGGAGGAAACCAGUCAGACGUUAAUUGAAAAUAAGGACAAACCGACCUCUGGAUGGGUGGGAGAAGGUUUGUAUAAGCAUUACUAAAGAUUUAAUACGUUCUACAUGUGAAUUGUAUUAGUAAUAUAUGUAAAUGAAUGCAUUGCUUUAUGCAUUAAUACACAUUAAUAUAUCCUUUGGACACAUUUUACCAUCUGUCAUUAUUUAUAUUGUCACUAGGUAUAUAUUAUGGCAUUCAUUUCAUUUUCCAACUGUUUCAGGUACUCCACAAACUGCUUAUAUAAAGUUUAUUUAAGUGAGUGAGGCUUACCUUUACCAUAAGAAGCUAAAUCCAAUAAACCAGUUUUUGGUAAGCAGAAAAAAUAGAUGCUUUGAGUGCGCUAUUACAUACACAUUUCAUGAAAGAAGUAACUCAAUACAUUAAGUUUGGAUGAGUAGAAGCAAAACAUACAGUAAAUACAAAACUUUUACUAUGGAUAGCAUGUUUUAUUUUUAUGGUGUAACAUCAUCUCUUUUGUUUUCAUACAGAUGCAAAAUUACCUUUAACAAAAAAGAUUUUUGGCAUUUUAGUUAUGGGAUAAUAUUCAGACCGUGAUACCUAAAGUUGCUGCCUUAGUGUUCCUACACACUCAGGAUGAUUUAUUAUCCAAAGGUACCUCUCACUGAGCCAGAAACUGUACAAUGCAAAUUAUAAAGGGAAGUUUGAGAACAAACUUCAUGUUGGUUUGAAAUCGUGAACCACUUUUUCUAACCUUGGACCACAGU